AAGUGCUUGGACGAUCUCGCCGUGUAUUUUAAAAAUCACACGACUCUCGGCAACGGAUAUCUCGGCUCUCGCAUCGAUGAAGAACGUAGCGAAAUGCGAUACUUGGUGUGAAUUGCAGAAUCCCGUGAACCAUCGAGUUUUUGAACGCAAGUUGCGCCCGA
rnacentral:rRNA from 1 species